rnacentral:rRNA from 1 species
UACGUAGGGGACGAGAGUUGUUCGGAAUCACUGGGCGUAAAGCGCGCGUAGGCGGGUUUGUAAGUCGAUUGUGAAAGCCCUGGGCUUAACCCGGGAAUUGCAGUCGAAACUGUGAAUCUUGAAUGUUUGAGAGGAUGGUGGAAUUCCAGGUGUAGAAGUGAAAUUCGUAGAUAUCUGGAGGAACAUCGGAGGCGAAGGCGGCCAUCUGGCAAAACAUUGACGCUGAAGUGCGAAAGCGCGGGGAUCAAACAGG